GCCAAGCAGUAACACAACAAUUAAAUAACACAUUGUUCGCCAAAUAACUACGAGUAAAAACUUAAAAUUUAAAAGACUUGACGGUACCUCAUAACAACCUAGAGGAGCCUGUCUAAUAACCGAUACUCCACGAUUAACCCAACCUCAGCUAGCCUAACAGUCUAUAUACCGCCGUCGCCAGCUUACCUUAUGAAAGAAACAAAGUGAGCACAACAGUCAUACACUAAUACGACAGGUCGAGGUGUAACUUAUGCAGAGGUUAAGAUGGGCUACAUUUUCUAAUACAGAAAACACGAAUAAAUUAUGAAAACAAAACUGAAGGCGGAUUUAGCAGUAAGAUAAGAACAAAACACCUAACUGAAACAAAAGCAAUGAGGUGCGUACACACCGCCCGUCAUCCCUGUCAACCGAUUUACACUACAAAAUAUAUCAACGCACAACCUUAAAACAGGGCAAGUCGUAACACGGUAAGCGUACUGGAAGGUGUGCUUAGAAA
rnacentral:rRNA from 1 species